UACGUAGGGGGCAAGCGUUAUCCGGAUUCUCUGGGUGUAAAGGGAGCGUAGACGGCCAUGCAAGCCAGGGGUGAAAGCCCGGGGCCCAACCCCGGGACUGCCCUUGGAACUGCAUGGCUGGAGUGCGGGAGGGGCAGGCGGAAUUCCUGGUGUAGCGGUGAAAUGCGUAGAUAUCAGGAGGAACACCGGCGGCGAAGGCGGCCUGCUGGACCGCGACUGACGUUGAGGCUCGAAAGCGUGGGGAGCGAACAGG
rnacentral:rRNA from 1 species